rnacentral:rRNA from 1 species
UACGUAGGGUCCGAGCGUUGUCCGGAAUUACUGGGCGUAAAGAGCUCGUAGGUGGUUUGUCGCGUUGUUCGUGAAAACUCACAGCUCAACUGUGGGCGUGCGGGCGAUACGGGCAGACUGGAGUACUGCAGGGGAGACUGGAAUUCCUGGUGUAGCGGUGGAAUGCGCAGAUAUCAGGAGGAACACCGGUGGCGAAGGCGGGUCUCUGGGCAGUAACUGACGCUGGGGAGCGAAAGCGUGGGGAGCGAACAGG